rnacentral:rRNA from 1 species
AUUGAACGCUGGCGGCAGGCCUAACACAUGCAAGUCGAGCGAGCGGCGGACGGGUGAGUAAUGUCUGGGAAACUGCCUGAUGGAGGGGGAUAACUACUGGAAACGGUAGCUAAUACCGCAUACCCUCAGAUGUGCCCAGAUGGGAUUAGCUAGUAGGUGGGGUAACGGCUCACCUAGGCGACGAUCCCUAGCUGGUCUGAGAGGAUGACCAGCCACACUGGAACGGAGAAACGCCCCAGAUUCCUCCGGGAGGCGGCAGUGGGGAAUAUUGCACAAUGGGCGAAAGCCUGAUGCAGCCAUGCCGCGUGGGUGAAGAAGGCCUCCGGGUGGUAAAGCACUUUCAGCGGGGCGGCGUUACCCGCAGAAGAAGCACCGGCUAACUCCGUGCCAGCAGCCGCGGUAAUAC